UACGUAGGGUGCGAGCGUUAAUCGGAUUUACUGGGCGUAAAGCGUGCGCAGGCGGCCCGUUAAGACAGGUGUGAAAUCCCUGGGCUCAACCUAGGAAUUGCGCUUGUGACUGCAGGGCUAGAGUACGGUAGAGGGGGGUGGAAUUCCUGGUGUAGCAGUGAAAUGCGUAGAGAUCAGGAGGAACACCGAUGGCGAAGGCAGCCCCCUGGGCCUGUACUGACGCUCAUGCACGAAAGCGUGGGGAGCAAACAGG
rnacentral:rRNA from 1 species